UACGUAGGGCGCAAGCGUUGUCCGGAAUUAUUGGGCGUAAAGAGCUCGUAGGCGGUUUGUCGCGUCGAAUGUGAAAACCCGGGGCUCAACCGUGGAGGGUCAUUGGAAACUGGGAGACUUGAGUGCAGAAGAGGAGAGUGGAAUUCCACGUGUAGCGGUGAAAUGCGUAGAGAUGUGGAGGAACACCAGUGGCGAAGGCGACUCUCUGGUCUGUAACUGACGCUGAGGAGCGAAAGCGUGGGGAGCAAACAGG
rnacentral:rRNA from 1 species